rnacentral:rRNA from 1 species
GUGAAAGGCCAAUCAAACCGGGAGAUAGCUGGUUCUCCCCGAAAGCUAUUUAGGUAGCGCCUCGUGAAUUCAUCUCCGGGGGUAGAGCACUGUUUCGGCAAGGGGGUCAUCCCGACUUACCAACCCGAUGCAAACUGCGAAUACCGGAGAAUGUUAUCACGGGAGACACACGGCGGGUGCUAACGUCCGUCGUGAAGAGGGAAACAACCCAGACCGCCAGCUAAGGUCCCAAAGUCAUGGUUAAGUGGGAAACGAUGUGGGAAGGCCCAGACAGCCAGGAUGUUGGCUUAGAAGCAGCCAUCAUUUAAAGAAAGCGUAAUAGCUCACUGGUCGAGUCGGCCUGCGCGGAAGAUGUAACGGGGCUAAACCAUGCACCGAAGCUGCGGCAGCGACGCUGAUGCGUUGUUGGGUAGGGGAGCGUUCUGUAAGCCUGCGAAGGUGUGCUGUGAGGCAUGCUGGAGGUAUCAGAAGUGCGAAUGCUGACAUAAGUAACGAUAAAGCGGGUGAAAAGCCCGCUCGCCGGAAGACCAAGGGUUCCUGUCCAACGUUAAUCGGGGCAGGGUGAGUCGACCCCUAAGGCGAGGCCGAAAGGCGUAGUCGAUGGGAAACAGGUUAAUAUUCCUGUACUUGGUGUUACUGCGAAGGGGGGACGGAGAAGGCUAUGUUGGCCGGGCGACGGUUGUCCCGGUUUAAGCGUGUAGGCUGGUUUUCCAGGCAAAUCCGGAAAAUCAAGGCUGAGGCGUGAUGACGAGGCACUGCGGUGCUGAAGCAACAAAUGCCCUGCUUCCAGGAAAAGCCUCUAAGCAUCAGGUAACAUCAAAUCGUACCCCAAACCGACACAGGUGGUCAGGUAGAGAAUACCAAGGCGCUUGAGAGAACUCGGGUGAAGGAACUAGGCAAAAUGGUGCCGUAACUUCGGGAGAAGGCACGCUGAUAUGUAGGUGAAGUCCCUCGCGGAUGGAGCUGAAAUCAGUCGAAGAUACCAGCUGGCUGCAACUGUUUAUUAAAAACACAGCACUGUGCAAACACGAAAGUGGACGUAUACGGUGUGACGCCUGCCCGGUGCCGGAAGGUUAAUUGAUGGGGUCAGCGCAAGCGAAGCUCUUGAUCGAAGCCCCGGUAAACGGCGGCCGUAACUAUAACGGUCCUAAGGUAGCGAAAUUCCUUGUCGGGUAAGUUCCGACCUGCACGAAUGGCGUAAUGAUGGCCAGGCUGUCUCCACCCGAGACUCAGUGAAAUUGAACUCGCUGUGAAGAUGCAGUGUACCCGCGGCAAGACGGAAAGACCCCGUGAACCUUUACUAUAGCUUGACACUGAACAUUGAGCCUUGAUGUGUAGGAUAGGUGGGAGGCUUUGAAGUGUGGACGCCAGUCUGCAUGGAGCCGACCUUGAAAUACCACCCUUUAAUGUUUGAUGUUCUAACGUUGACCCGUAAUCCGGGUUGCGGACAGUGUCUGGUGGGUAGUUUGACUGGGGCGGUCUCCUCCUAAAGAGUAACGGAGGAGCACGAAGGUUGGCUAAUCCUGGUCGGACAUCAGGAGGUUAGUGCAAUGGCAUAAGCCAGCUUGACUGCGAGCGUGACGGCGCGAGCAGGUGCGAAAGCAGGUCAUAGUGAUCCGGUGGUUCUGAAUGGAAGGGCCAUCGCUCAACGGAUAAAAGGUACUCCGGGGAUAACAGGCUGAUACCGCCCAAGAGUUCAUAUCGACGGCGGUGUUUGGCACCUCGAUGUCGGCUCAUCACAUCCUGGGGCUGAAGUAGGUCCCAAGGGUAUGGCUGUUCGCCAUUUAAAGUGGUACGCGAGCUGGGUUUAGAACGUCGUGAGACAGUUCGGUCCCUAUCUGCCGUGGGCGCUGGAGAACUGAGGGGGGCUGCUCCUAGUACGAGAGGACCGGAGUGGACGCAUCACUGGUGUUCGGGUUGUCAUGCCAAUGGCACUGCCCGGUAGCUAAAUGCGGAAGAGAUAAGUGCUGAAAGCAUCUAAGCACGAAACUUGCC